GUGGGUGAUUUUAUAAUUGCUUGCAAAAUAUUAAGCCGCCUGUGAGGUGGUUGGGAGGGUAAUUGAUUUUUAUUAAUUACUAUUACUAACCCCCCCAUGGGUCGUAACAUACAUAUAAAUGCGUGUUGUGUAGACAGUGUGUGAUUAUUAAACAAAUUAUUGACAACUUUUAACAAUGGAUCUCUAGGCUCUUGCAGCGAUGAAGAACGCAGCAAAAUGCGAAACGUGAUGCGAUUUGCAUGAAUCUGUGAGUCAUCUAAUCUUUGAACGCGAAUGGCACUGUUGCGCAAGUGACAGUAUGUCUGUUUGAGAAUCGCAAAACCCGAUCAACUCUAGUUAAGAGUUGGAAUUGACCUCAUGUGCAGUUAUUAAUGUAUAUUUGGUUUAAAUGGAUCAAGUUGAUGAGUCCCCCAGUGACGCUCAAUGUGUGCUAGCGAGACAGUCGUCCCGAUGUCACAUUUCGAGUCAUUGCAGGAUUCUAUCCACAACUCACAUUAAUAUUUUAAUAUCGUUUACGAUCUCAAAUCAGGCAAGAUUACCCGCUGAACUUAAGCAUAUCAAUAAGCGGAGGAA
rnacentral:rRNA from 1 species